CGGUCGCGGGGUUUAUCCGUAUUUGCGGCUGUUGCCGUUGAGCCCGGUCCACACCACUAGGGCCAUGGAUACAAGAAGAACAUUUCGACUCGAAGCAUGUGGACACGACCAAGGUUCCUACAUACGUGUCCAGAAGUUACUAAAUGUUUCGUCAACAAUCCGUUGCAAGCGGCAGACAUUUCCCAUUGUUUCGUGUUUCGAUCGAAAACGAAACGUGUCGCUUCCGUUGUGUAAACAUACUUCGACCCGAAAUGUCGUUACAUGUCGCCCGAGUGUGGACAGGGCUUUAGGUACGAUUACGACGAUGGUGUUAGUCAAUGUCGCGAGACCGUACAAACGCGCGGGACGGACCGCGUGCGACGAUUCGCCGACGCGAAAUAAAAUGUUAUUGGACGAUGAUAAAUUUUGCUUAUCACUUUAUCAGCGAACGCAUAUAACGCGCAUCUAUGGCGGCCGAACGUCGUGCCCCAGCAUAGAU